rnacentral:rRNA from 1 species
UACGUAGGUGGCAAGCGUUGUCCGGAAUUAUUGGGCGUAAAGCGCGCGCAGGUGGUCCUUUAAGUCUGAUGUGAAAGCCCACGGCUCAACCGUGGAGGGUCAUUGGAAACUGGGGGACUUGAGUGCAGGAGAGAAGAGUGGAAUUCCACGUGUAGCGGUGAAAUGCGUAGAUAUUGGGAGGAACACCAGUGGCGAAGGCGGCUCACUGGACCGGAACUGACGCUGAGGCGCGAAAGCGUGGGGAGCAAACAGG